GAGAUGACAUGGCAUGGCAUGAUUGAUAAAGAGAUAAAUGUUGAGAUAGUAAAAAUGAAAGUUUUGAGAAUAUAUAUGUAUAUUUAUAUUUUACAUUUCUGGGAAGUAUACAGGUUUUACGGAGAGGGGUUACAACGUUUGAGAAAUGUUUGGAUUUGGAAAAGAAUUGUUUUACUGACCCACUCAAUUUUGGUUUUGCGCCCCUCCAGGUUCAGGAAUCACAAAGGUGUGGUGACUACGAGGAAUUCGACGGUGUUCUGACAGAUGG
rnacentral:lncRNA from 1 species